UACAGGCCCUUUGUCUACGCGGAUUAUUCGCUGAAGUACUUGCGCUUCUUUUAGUGAAAUAGCGAAUUCAGUAGAAUAUUUCACUGGACUGCAGAGCUGUGAACAAUGAAAACAAGUUCCCGUUAAGCUUAGUGAAUCACUUGUGCAGAACCUCGCAUAUGAUUUUCCACAAAAAGCUAGCUUGCGCAACUUCCGAAGGAUUGCAAAGGAAAUGAAAUAACAACUUCACCAUCAUGCUGGAAGGAUCAGAUGUUCGGCUAUUCACACACACACACAAUACUUAAAUUUGAAUUCGUUUUCUUUAGAGCCAGAAGGAGCACAAUGGUGUUCUCGACAGCACUCAUCUGAAUGUGCAUUUAAUAAUAGGUCGCUGAUGUAUGAACCGGCUCCAUCACCUGACUUACACUUUGGCGUUGUUUUUUUUUUUUUUUUUGCAGCCUAGAGAACAAUGAUAAUAUUUUAUUGUUGUAGGCUUAUGGCAUGGGAAGAAAAUAUACAGGCAUCCGACUAUCGUCGCCAAUUUCGCGGUCACGCUAUAGCCACUCAUUUAACUAGAAUUUAAGGAGCAUUUCAAACUUUAAACAAACACCUUCUCCGCCAUCUGAUCUGACAACGUGUAUAUACACGGGAAAAUAGCACAGUACAUAUAAAGAUGCAGCAAUGACUGAAUGCCGCUGAAGCCAUGGCGAUCAUUGCUCAAAUGUCAAUGCUUUGUUGGUUGCUGUUCUCGGCGUCCUGUAGCCCGGGAAGCGAUGCGGCUGAGCUACCUCCACGGAGCUCUGAUAUUCCAGUCGACACCAAGGACCGUUAUACAGUAGAACCAUGGCCAGUACAGUUCAAACCAGGCGAGAUUGUGUUCCGUGAUGUUGAAGCAGACUAGACUUCAAGAAAACGAACAGCCCAGAGGCAGCAGCACCGUGUGAAAUGCAAUAUUUGGAAGAUAUUGUGCCACAGCUUGCCACGAACGUGCAACAAUAAAGGUGUCGCUGCAUUUACUG